CCUACGGGGGACAGCAGUGAGGAAUAUUGGUCAAUGGCCGGAAGGCUGAACCAGCCAAGUCGCGUGAAGGAAGAAGGAUCUAUGGGUUGUAAACUUCUUUUAUAGGGGAAUAAAGGUAUCCACGUGUGGAGAUUUGCAUGUACCCUAUGAAUAAGCAUCGGCUAACUCCGGGCCAGCAGCCGCGGUAAUACGGAGGAUGCGCGCGUUAUCCGGAUUUAUUGGGUUUAAAGGGUGCGGAGGUUGUUUUUUAAGUCCGCGGUGAAAGUUUGUGGCUCCACCAUAAAAUUGCCGUUGAAACUGGAAGCCUUGAGUGUGUUUGAGGUAGGCGGACUGCGUGGUGUAGCGGUGAAAUGCAUAGAUAUCACGCAGAACUCCGAUUGCGAAGGCAGCUUACUAGGCCAUAACUGACACUGACGCACGAAAGCGUGGGGAUCAAACAGGAUUAGAUACCCUGGUAGUC
rnacentral:rRNA from 1 species